GCCUGGAUGGCUCAGUCUGUUGAGCUUGGGACUCUUGAUCUCAGGGCUGUAGGUUCGAGCCCUACAUUGGGUG
rnacentral:tRNA from 1 species